AAUUCAUGAAUGAGUCGGGAAUUAUCCCGUGGAAUGAAUUGUUGCUGAGGUCAAGGAUGACCAGCUCAUGGAGCUGGUUCAGAGAUGGUAACUGUCCGGAGAAGCCAUUGGAGGACAAGUUGAGGAUCAUAAGGUACGUUAAAUUCCCAAGUGAGGGGGUGAUCUCGCCUGACAAGCUUUCGCCCCCGAGUUCCAGCCCAGCGACGCGCCCUGGAUUCCCAUAGCUACAUACGACGCCCUCCCAGUUGCAGUAGUGGACGCGCCUGUUCCAAGAUCUUAGGGCACCUGUUGGGUCGUUGGUAGCCGCUUUGAACUCGAGCAACGAGUGCACGUCUGUUCUGUUUCCGUGACUGACCGCUGCGCAAUGGAUGUUGGCAGCUCCAUAGGAUAACAGCAGCAGAAACGCCAGCAGAAUAACCAUGCUGAGUGUCCUCAUGGAUUGCUCCGUUACCUGCAUAAAUACAUACAGAGCAAUGUUCACCGGCGCCCAGCGGAGCUAAUUACAAGGGCGUCCAUGACACAAACCACUUACAAAACUUAAGUGCUACGUGUGCUCACAACUACUACAGUUACUUAAGGAUCUAAUACAAGCUGUGAAAUACUAAGAUUAUGUAACUUCUCACAGCAAGAAGCAAUCAAGAAGAGAGACAGUAGCUUAGCGUACCUCUGCUCGUCGACAAGAGCGCACAAAACAGCAGCUUGGGUUUGCCGGUAGGUGGUCUGUACGUACUUCCGUUUCAAAUGCUCAGCUGGCCAGCGGUUUAAACGCAGUUUCUACAGCAGUUUUGGGCCACACACCGUUCUCUCAGCGGAGUUUUCCGCUGCUACUUUUCAGCAGUUUUGGGUCAUCGGAACUUUCCGCUGCUACUUUUCUCUUUGGAGUGUUGCCCCCUACUGCCGCUGAUCUGUCGCUCCUGCUUGAGCUGGACAGUAUUGUUGCAGCACGUUCAGCAUCCAUCAAAUCGAAUCCUCCCGGAUCUAUCUAUUCUAAUCUAGGAGUAGAUCUUUUCUGCGCUACAUGCAUACUUUGGGAACCUUCCUUUUCUUGGAUGGAUGAAUUAUCUAUCCGGCCAAGUGAACUUGUAUCCACUCGAUCGAUAUGGUUGACGCGUCUUUGAGGUAAAUAUGGAUAACACUUAAUGUCAAAUGCCGUUAUGCUACCUAAUGAAUAGAAAAAUGAAAAAUAAAGAAUGAAAACCAGUNUUUAUUGCAAAAAAGGUCAAUGUUUAUUGAAAAAAACAAAAUCAGUUUUCUCGUUUUUGUUAAUUUGUUUUGAGAAACUUUAUUGCAGAUGCAUUUGAACUCGCGACCAGAAACACACUUUCGUGUCUUCCGCGGCUACAUGUACCCACGGAGACGCUGUUUAAAUUCCUUGAUGAACGACCCACCCCAUCCGAUGAAAGGCGAAACACACUUCGGCUUCAACUUUGGUGUCUAGUUUAGCUCUGCUCAACAAUGAUUAAAAGCUUGAGAAUAAACUCAACUAUUGAUACGAACAGAUUAGCAGUCAGGAGGCCACUCCUGCACUCUUCCACUCUUUCGUCUCCAUAGGCCGUUAUGUCUCGGGGUACUUUCACCUAGUCUAAUAAUCACGAGAACCCUUCCUUGGAAAAAAAGUUGAAAGACUCCUAAUGAGUAAUGGUUGGGAGAACCUUUUUAUUUAGUUUUGUACGCAAGCUCUCUAGACUAAUAUAUGGUCAUGAUCCUUUGAUCCUUGAUAUCAUGGCACAGAAGGAGCCAAAUCACAAAUCCUUUAGAGAGCUAUUUUGGCUACUCAGGGAGUAUUUCUUUCAGAAGGUUGCCAAGGACAGUUAUGCAAAAAAAGAAGAAGCUUGAUGGCUAGUAGAUACUUGAAAGGCCGUGGUAGAAACAUAAGAAAGCAAGUGUUAAAGCAGAGCUGAACUAAUGGAUGAAUUGAAGGAUCUAAAGGACUUGGAAGAGAUACAACAACCGGCAAAUGAACAGAUGGCUAGAUGAAGUUUCAUUUAGUCAUCACCAAAAAAAGAAGAAGUUUCAUUUAGAGUAAUAUGUGUGAACGACUGGAAUAGGAGGAAUAAUGGCAUAGAAGAUCCAGUGAUAAUUGACUCCAUAAAGUAGACAACAAUAUUGGGUACUUCCAUAAAAUUGCCAAUGGUAGAAGAAGGAAAAAUAGAAGAUGAUUGCUGGACCCAGAAUAGGAUAUUAAUCCAAAAAGGACAUGCAAGCUGGAGUAUAAAGUGUAUUACAUUACAUUCUUAGCAGGGACCAUUUUAUCAACAGACUCUAAUUGCACCUCCAGCUUUAGCUCCUUUGAGAAGCCCAGCUGACAAGUCUCCUAAAAGAAGUUGAGCUCCUAACUCUCCUUCCCGUGUUCACCAUGUUGAUUUUGCACAAUUGGGUAGCUACUUCUCUCAUGUUAAGCCGUUCAGUUGGGGAUUGGCGUGUACACUGAAGUGCUACUCGUAGCAAAGAUAACAAGGACUGAAAGAUCGGCGGGUUUUCCGUUCCUGCUGCUAUUUGGUCGAUGCCACCAUUGCAUUCAUUUACCAGACGAGAAUCCAGAAAAUUUAAUGUGUGAUCAGGAAAAUUCGUUUCCACAAAUCUGACAAUGGUGAGUUCGUUCCUGAACAUAUCAUCCGUUGGUCUUUUUCCUGUCAGCAUCUCCAAAAGUACUAUUCCGAAACUAUAUACGUCCCCACAAGUAGAUGCGUGACCGUUUUCAGCAUACUCUAAAAACAGAGACCAAAUCAGUAAUCAUGGAAGCGGUAAAUAAUUAUAUGCAAAACACUUAGAAAAACUAAUCAUUUGUCAAACAACUAUACCUGGAGCCAUGUAUCCGAGAGUUCCGUUCACAGUAAUUGAACUUGAAUCACCGACUGUUCUCAGUUUAGAAUCAAUGUAGAACCUCGCGAUGCCAAAAUCUCCUAGACAAGCAUUCAUAUGAAUGUCUAGGAGUAUGUUACUCGGCUUCAAAUCACAAUGGAUGAUGGGCCUCCCACUAUAAUGGUGCAAAUAGUCCAAUGCGUCGGCUAUGUUAGUAGCGAUGCUUAUUCUUUGAGCCAAGCCUAAAUGCCUUCCAGCUGCCUGAUUCCCUUGAUGAUGCAACCAAGUGUCCAAGUUCCCAUUGGGCAUGAAAGCAUAGAUGAUAGCUCUGAAAGCAUUGCCUUUGUUGUCGAUUGCGGAGCAUUCAGUUAUGAGGGGAACAAUGUUUCUAUGACGAAUGCCUCUCAAUGCUUUGCAUUCUAAUGCAAAACUUCCUUCGGCACCCGGAAUCUCAAGGUCAAGUAUCUUGAUAGCUAUUUCUGUUUUAACUUGUUUCAACUUUCCUUUGUACACUGAGCUGUAACUUCCUUCGCCAAUCAAGUUAAUCUCAGAGAAGUUGCUUGUCGCUCGAGCUAGAUCCCAGUAAGAAACUCUAGGGAAUUUCUCCCCGAGAGAAGGCAGCAACGAAAAUGUUGCCUGUGGUAUCUUCUCGUGGAUUAUAAAGCAAGUCAACAGUGCCAAUGACAGGAAACCAAUUAUUGUGAUCAACACCGUAAUCAAACGAUAGUGUCUUCCUGUUCUCGGCGAGGCAUCUGGGCAUGAGGGCACAUGGAAACCGGUUGCUUGUCCGCAAAGUCCCGAGUUGCCAUCAAGGGAAACGUUUGCGGGGUGCUCAAACACUCCAUUUCUUGGGAUUGCUCCUCGGAGACGAUUAUAAGAUAGGUCUAACUUGCUAAGAAGUUGAAGAUCACUUAGUACUGUUGGGAUGACACCUGACAAAUCAUUAUAGGACAGGUUGAGCAUGUCCAAGCUCAAAAGGUUGCCUAAAGAGGUUGGAAUGACACCGGUGAGAUUAUUGUGGUCCAUUUGGAUGGUUAUGAGGCCCUGACACUUGCCCAGAUCAUCGGGAAUUUUUCCCGAAAGUCUGCUAGAAGAUAGAUAUAGUGAAAUGAGUUGUUUAAGCUCACUAAUUUCUGGAGGUAUCUCACCUUGCAGAUUAUUAUAGCUAAGGUCCAGCCUUGAGAGUUGUGAAAGUUUUCCCAAUGUGGGAGGUAUGGGACCUUCAAAUUCAUUUUGUGCUAGAGAAAGUAUUGUCAGUUCUGAAAGGUUGCCAAAAGAUGGUGGAAUGGACCCGGCGAAAUUGUUUCCAUGAAGAUCUAAAUAUUGUAAGUUUAUUAGACUCCCUAACCAUCCUUCAAUUUUACCAGUUAAGCUGUUGUUGCUAAGAUCCAAAUCGAUUAUGCUACUACGGUUUGCUAGGCUUAAAGGAACUAUUCCUGAUAGAUUGUUUCCAUUCAUGUGUAGACGUGUGAGUUUAGUGGACAACUUACCGACCAAAUCCGGUAUGGCUCCUUGCAGCUGAUUAUUAUCUAAUGUGAGCGCAUAUAGAUUACUACAGUUUGUUAGUCCAUACAAGGAUUCCCAUCUUUGGCUUUCACUUGAUUCAAGCAUAUUAUAUCCAAGGUUUAAGUUCUCAAGGUUUGGUAGCUUUCCGAAAAUAGGAAUUUCUCCAACGAAGCUGUUAUCUGAUAAAUCCAUGAGUUGUAGCCGUGAAGCGUUGCCUAGCGAAGCUGGGAUGUGACCAUGAAGCAUGUUCUCGCCCAGCGAAAAAAGUAUGUUUUCAGGGAGGGUAUCGCCAAUGUCAGGAGGCAAUUCCCCUUGUAGCUUAUUUGCAUACAAGCCUAAUAUUUGAACCGAAGUCAGAUUAAAGAAGGAUGGUGGUAUUCGACCUGAGAGCCUAUUUUCACCUACGGACAAUUCCAACAUCUUGGGCCAUUGCCCAAACACAUCAGGAAUGCUCCCCCCUAGUUCAUUUUCCCCAAGAUCGAGUUGUUCUAACUGGGUGGCGUUGCUGAUGGUUGGUGGGAUGACCCCGGUAAGAUUAUUCCUAGCAAGGCCUAAGCCUAAUAGAUUAUAGAGCGAACCAAUUUUCUUGGGGAUUGGACCUUGUAGCAUGUUUCCAGAAAGAACUAGAUAGUGUAGGUUGGAGCAAUUCAUGAGUGAGUCAGGAAUCGUCCCCUGAAACGAAUUGAAGCUCAGGUCAAGGUGGACCAGCUCAUGGAGCAGGUUCAUAGGAGGUAACAGGCCGGAGAAGCCAUUGGAGGACAAAUCGAGGACCUUAAGGUACGUCAAGUUCCCAAAAGAGGGGCUGAUCUCGCCUGACAAGCUUUGGCCGGGGAGUCUCAGAGCAACGACGCGCUCCGGUUUCAGUGAGCUGCAUCUGACGCCCGUCCAGUUGCAGUAGUGGACACGCCUGUUCCAAGAUCUUAGGGCACCUGUUGGGUCGUUGGUAGCCGCUUUGAACUCGAGCAACGAGUGCACGUCUGUUCUGUUUUCGUGACUGACUGUUGAGCAAUGGAUGUUGCCAGCUCCAUAGGACAGCAGCAGCAGCAGAAACGCCAGUAGGACAACCAUACUGAUGUAGGUGAGUGAGUUUCUUCACGGAGUGCUCAGUCAGGCAUUAGCCGCGUACGUGUUACCUGCAAAACGUAAUAAAAGAGCACAGACAUGGCAGCUUAUUCAGAAGGGCCAUGGCAAAUUAAACCACUGCAAAACUCAAGCAGUACCAAUAAUCCGCUAACACUGCAGGCAGGCAGGCAUCAUCAUGUGCUCCCAGCUACAGUUACAUAAGACUCUGCUACAGGGUGUGCAAAAACUAAGAUUAUGCAGGUUUUCAAGAGAAGAGAUAGUAGCGUACCUCUGCUCUGCAAGGAGUGCACAGCAUCCGCGGCUUGGCUUUGCCGGUAUGAUGUCUGUAUGCUUACCUUUCAAGUGCUCAGGAGUCAGGCCCUAGCGGUUUAAAUGCAGUUUCUACCGCGGGCUUUGCGCCACACACCGUACUGUCAGCAGCACCCACGCCUUAUCAGCUUAGCUUGACCUGAACCACCGGGUCAACGGAACUGAACCUUCCACUCCAGGAGUAGUUUUCUCCUGCCGCCGCUGCUGUCUAUCGCUCCUGCUUGCUUGAGCUGGACAGCGUUGUUGCCGUAUGCAUGUCCGGCCUCCAUCGAAUCGAAUCGCAGAUCUACAUCUUUACUAGGCCACAUGUAUAACGGCUUACUGGUCCAAUUAGUCGUGCUUAUCAUGCAUGCUUUCGGAACCCUGCUUUUCUUGGUGGGUCGAGUACUUAGAACUUGUAUGCGCUCGUUCUAGACAACAUUUGGAUGAGCAAGUGCCGUGUCUUCCACGGCUGACAGAAACACCAUUCAAAUCAAAUCAAACAGAGGAAAUAAUUAUCUUGACAGACCCGCUCGAUUUGGGCAGAUUUUACAUAUAUUUCCGGAAAAUUCUAGAUAAUAGAGAUCAACUCGCGUCCAGAAACGAAUUAAAUCAUCCCGCAAAACCCGAUUGUGCAUAGUAAUCGCAGACGAACCGCAAAACUCUGCAGCAGUUCUUUCGAAAAGCAUUGUCGUGCCAACGGUGCAUGAAGACAGUGCACAUACGUUGGGCAUGCAAUCCGAGAAGUGUUAAUAGAAUAGCUAUUCUGCUAAUAUUAAUAGAAUAGAGCAUUGACUAUUGAGCCUGGCCCACCUCAUCUUCUCUAGUCCAUGUGAGUGAGCCAGAGACAGAGGCAGAGCCGCAUCCGCGCAAUGCGAGCGCCGCUGGAGGCUGGACGCCGGAGCUCCUUCCCGUCGCGGGCUCCUCCGUCCCAGCCGUCAGCCGUAGCUGCAGGAAACGGGGCUAUCCAGCCGACCCACGUCCGAUCCGCCCGAAAACGGGUGGAUCCAGCCUUCCUCGACCGCCGCGUCGGUCUCUGCUCUUCAGAGGAUCUACCCCGCCUCAUGCCACUCUCCUCUCCUCCGGUCCUCUCUCGCUCCUGCAUCGAGCCAUCGACAAUCCCCGCUGGCCGCCCUGUCUGCUCCCCUGCUGGUCCCUCGUGGGUGAAUUCUUGAGAUGCGGAGUGCAAUGGGGCGACCCAAACAGACGACGAUUUCGUCCGCUUUUUAUCCGUUUGGGUCGGUCAUUUUGCAGUUGCACGUGAGUUUAUCAAUCAUGCAUAUUUUGAUGAAAUUGGAUGAACUGUUCAAACGUUGCUGCUCCUCCAUGCUCAGGCACAACAUUCUCACCCUGAAACUGAAACCCUUGAUCGUACAAACCCUGAAACUGAAACCCUUGAUCGUACAAACGUUCCGGGCACUCGCCUUCUACGAUCAUAUUAUGCAUGAUCACAUAAGCAGUCAUCACCUCGCAUAGUUUCUGCGUGCUCGAGGUAUUAGCAGGAUACGGAACGAUGCCCCAUCAAGAUUGCAAAACACCAAAGGCACGCUCGACAUCCUUCCUAGCACCCUCUUGCUCUUGGGCAAAUAUUUUCCUCUUCUCUCCGACAGGGUUGAGUAUUGUCUUGACAAUAGUGGUCCACUGAGGAUAGAUAUCGUCACCCAGGUAGUAUCCUUUGUCGUAGUUGUGGCCGUUAACAGUAAAGUUCACCGGUGGUCUGUUGCGUUCGGCAAGCCUAGCAAACACCGGCGAACGCUAAAGCACGUUGAUAUCAUUGUGUGAUCCGACCAUGCCAAAGAAAAAGUGCCAGAUCCAGAGAUCUUCAGACGCCACGGCCUCUAGUAUGAGAGUGCAAGCCUUGACAUGACCCUUGUAUUGCCCUUGCCAAGCAGAAGGGCAGUUCUUCCACUCCCAGUGCAUGCAUUCUAUGCUACCAAGCAUUCCUGGGAAGCCCCUGCUGGCAUUCAUUGCCAACAAACGGGAUGUAUCUUCAGCAGUCGUCUCUCUCAAGUACUCAGGGCCAAACACAGCAAUAACAGCCUUGCAUAACUUAUACAUGGACUCUAGGCAAGUAGACUCGCUCAUGCGGAUGUACUCGUCAAUGAGAUCACCAGGCACUUCGUAUGCAAGCAUUCGGAUGGCGGCAGUGCAUUUCUGAUAAGAGGAAAAACCUAUCUUGUCAACGACAUCCUCUUUGCACUCGAAAUAGUCAUCAUAGCCGACCACCCCCUCUCUAAUACGGUUGAAAAGAUGCCUACUCAUACGGAAACGGCGGCGGAAUUUUUGAUGUUUGAACAACGGGUUUGUUGUAUCAAAGUAGUCCUUCCAAAGAAGGAAAUACCCGCUCUCUCGAUUGUGAUUCAACGCCGGAAGGUGGCCCGGAAUGGAGCCACGGAACAACGCCUGCUAGCUGUUCAGGUGGUGAUGGACCAACACGACAGUCAAUAUCUCAUCCUCGUCAUCGGACGACGAAUCGUUGGAGUCGCAAAGGAAUUUGUGAAAAAAGAACUCGUCGGCGGAAUCCAUUUUGUACCUUGGCAAACUGUCGAACAGCUUGUGGGCGACGACGAAGGAGACGGCCGGCGAAGGGAGUCGCGACGGCGCACGGACCAGCUAGCUGCCCUCGGCGUCCGACGAGUGGGCNNNNNNNNNNNNNNNNNNNNNNNNNNNNNNNNNNNNNNNNNNNNNNNNNNNNNNNNNNNNNNNNNNNNNNNNNGGUGGGGGGGAGUGGGAAGCAGUCGGCUCCCCGACGGCAAGAAGGAGGCGACGGGCGACGUGGGAGUGGGCGGCGUUGCUGGGCGGAUGUGGAGGCGCCGGCAGCUGGCAGAGUCACCGGCAAAAACGGGCGGUGACGUCGGCGAGGAAGGAGGCGGGCGAGUGUUGGAUGGGGGGAGGCCAAUAUGCCACCGACCAGCGGGCCCGGGGAAGGAGAAGGCGAGCGUGCGCUCAUCCGUCGUGUGUCCGCAACGACGUAAAUCCGGCUCAAAAAUGGGCCGGGAAUGGGUCGCCCGCGGACGGAAACCGGACGCAUGUCCGUUUGCGUCGGCGCGUUGGGCCACCUUUUGUGUCCGCGCCGACCCAAACGAACGGCGACGGACGAAAUGGGUCGUCCUAUUGGAGUUGCUCUAAAGAGCUAGUAUGCUCUAGUAUAUUCGGAAGCCGAGUGUAUUAUGUUAGAAUUUUUUGUUUUGUGAACAAAAAAGAGCUCAAGAGGACUAGGGAUGUGUUAUUUUUGUUCUAGUCUUGUCUUGCUGAAAUAUCUUUUAAAUGUAGAACUGAAGAUGAAGACUAAUGGUGAUAUAAAGGCCUCACUGUGAGGGUGUCUAAAUAGGAUCUACGUAUGUACAAGGCUAGGCUCACUUUCACUUAGAUGCUUGAGGUAUCUUUUGAACCAAGGAUUAGCUUUUCGUGGACAUGAUGAAUGCGAAUAAUUUAGCAGUAGGAGGAACUUUCUUGAACUUCUUAAAUGGCUUUCUGCAAAUGAUGAACAAGUUAAUAUGUUUGUUUUGAACAAUGCUUCUGGGAAUUGCUUCUUGACUAGUCCGAAGAUACCAAAUCAAAUAAUUGAAUGUUGUGCAAAGCAAACAACUAAUGAGUGGACAAGUAAAUUCUGCAAUGAAAAGUAAAUUGAGGACUAGCAUGGGUGAUGAUCGCUUGAAUAAUUGCUUGAUGACAUUUAUUGAGUGAGAUUUGCUCAUUAGUAAGUGAAGAUGACAUAGUUGAUGCUUUCAUGGCAAUGCAACGACGUCGAGUUACAUAGUGUUGUAAUUUUCUGCUUCAGCUUCUUUCAUGUAAGCCUUUUCUUUUAUAACUGAGCACAUUUGAGAUAUAUUUGUAAACUAAAUGGUUCUGAGAUUUGAGUUGAGCUACUCAUGUUAUUCUUUUGUCAUAUUUUGUUACACUCGAAUUAGGUAGAUUUUCUUUUAGAAUAUGAACACCCUUUAUUUUGUUCCGGACCGUUAGCCAGUCCCUUAGUACCUCAUAGUUUUCUGUCAAUGCUAAUGAUUGUGAUCAAGUCAACACAACCAAUCUGCAUUUGGGCAAUAUGUAUCAAUUGCAAGCAAUGAAUUUAGCAGCAACAAAUAUUAGAGGAACACCAAAUGAAGAUGAAAUAUAACGAUUUACGUUGCAUCUUGCUGGAAAAAACUACAGGCGGUGACGAGCAAUCUUCCAUUAUAUAGAUGAGUCAGCUACAAGGUAGAAACGAACAAGUAAGGGAGGCUUCAAAUCUCAAUUUUAACACUCAGGUUUUGGUGAAUUUGUAGAUCAAAUGGCCUCACUUCACCUACUCUAGAAUUAUCUCUGGAAUAGAAUAGCUAACUCUUUGUGUAUAUUCUGGAGCUUGGAAGAGACCUAUAUAUUGACAGCUUUGUAGAAAGCCCCACACCUUGGAGUGCGAAGUUUGUGUGACCGAAAACUCUGAAUCCGGGACGUCCAUCAACACAUUGGGAUGGUAAGCUGUCUGCUGGUUGUCCCCUGCUAGCUCGUGUUAGGUUGAGGAUUUAGGCAUCAUAGACGUAUUGGUUUGGCACACAUGUUUCGUAAUACAUGUGUCUACUGUUCUCUUGUGGCCCCGGUUGAGAGACUGAACGAUUAAAUAUCUAGUUGGAGGAAGGGUGACUGAUGAGAUAGAAAAGACAAGUCGUGAUGGGUGGCCCCGGUGAACGAUUAAUGAAUUUGUGGGCGUGGGCACCACCGCUUGCAUGCAUACGCAGCCUACAGUCAUGCAACAUGGCCGCAUUUUUUAAUGGGCUAAACCUAAUUAGCUUUUAGUGAUGCAUUAAGGUUUAUGUGAGGGUGUGCAUGUUUAAUUGUUUUCACCCUAUUUUAAGUUUAAUUUCAUCAGAUGAAUACGUCGACAAAAUAUUUUCAUAUUGAAUACCGUCGAUACCUCAUUAAAAGCUUCAUUUAUUUAUUUCAAUACGCCACGUGUAUAUUUUGUUAGCGCAAUAUAUUUUUUAUGCGUCACAUCGAUAUUUCUCACCAAGGAUGGAACAAGGGCUUCAUUUUACCAUAUGGUCGAUAUUUCGAAACUACUAUGAUUUUAUGUAGAUAUUCGACACCCGCCGUAGUUGGCGGCGUGCAUGGAUGAACGUUAUGUAUAUCUGAAUAUGUAUUAUUAUCCGAGUGUGUCAUUUUAAUUAGGACAAAUAAUUCACGGAGAUUUCUAUUCAUUUUACCAAUCUUACGAAUAUCGGCCCGUUUAUUAAUUUACUUCUUGGGUUUGCUAUUUUAUACAGAGUGGCGACAAUUCAUCAUGGUCAUUUCUCAAUGGUGUACUUCAUCAUUUCAAGUAAUUUAUUCGUUUGAGUUGCAUUAUAUUUUCUUCGGUCAAAACCGCUGUCAACAGGAUGUCAAUUUUUUUGAUUCGUUUUUUUCUUUUCGAGUGACAAUUUUAGUUUUAGAAAAUGCCACGGUGAAGUUGCUUUAUGCCACAUGUGUGGCACUUAUCAUUUAUAAAAAAUAGAGAUAAUAAGAUUUAUCUUAAAUCUUUUUCGUAAAAAAAGAUUUAUCUUAAAUCCAACUUCAUAAAGUGUGACCCAAUUUAGUUUGACGUGUACUGCUGGAUUGAUUUCAUAUAACGUGUGUGGUUUGUUUAAUGGCCGAUGUGUAGUUGGAAUUUGUUUUGAUGAAAUGAAUAAUCGUUUUGCUUAUAAUCCAUUUUCCAACUGCAGUAGGGUCAGUAGUUCAUGCUUGCUGAUUGUUGUGCACAAGUAGAGGAUUAAUUAGAGACUUAGCAUGAUUAGGUUCUGACGCGUGCGCAUUUCAUUUUUUAUUUUUCCAGGUAAUAAACGACACCAAGGGCAUGGACUCACGUUUUUGGCUGUCAGUUUUUUCCAUCAAUAUUUAUUUGUCACAAGUUAGCUAUAUAACGUUCUCUAAAAGUUUUGUAGUCCCUAAUUGAACGUUAUCACAUAAAACCCAGAUUAUAUUUAACGCUAAUACAUGCCUGUCAGAGGACACCACGCGCAAACUCGUACAGUGCCAACAGAAGGUCAAAAACACUGCUGGUACAUGCAUGCAGUAACAAGACAGGGGCUCGAUCACUGUAGAACCAUGUAAAAAGUAACAACGCAGACAUCAAUUCAACAACAUGCUCAUGUCAAAUCGGAAGUAUUUUUUAUUGUUUCUCAGCCCAUUCAACACGCACGUCAUUUACUCCCUAGCAUGUCAAAUCGUAAUACAAGGAAAGUUGCCUACUAUACGGGGGACAGGCCAAAACAAUACGAUGACGGCGCGGAUCCCUAGCGGGUGUGUAUGGACAGGAUGCCGAGCACCGAGGUGCUCGUCCUCAAAUCCGAAUUUUCGCACACCUUGCAACUAUGUUGAAUAGUCGAGUUUGUGGUCAGGUUUAUUGUACAGUAACUUAACAUCCAUGCUUCUGAAUGGUGAAACAAGAGCUGCAUUUUAUCACGGUAUGACACCUUGGAGAUUAUUAGACUCAAGGUAUAGUCGGGCUAAGCUUAGUAGCUUUCCGAAACUAGGGAUUUCCCCAAUGAGACUGUUAUUUGAUAAAUCCAUAACUUGUAGCAUUGUACAAUUGCCUAGCGAAGCUGGGAUAUGACCAUCAAGCAUAGUGCCGCCCAGGAUUAGAAUUCGGAGAUUAGGAAGGGUUUCGCAAAUGUUUAGUGGCAAUGCCAUUCGUAGCAUAUUUAAAUGUCCAUCUAAUACUCCAAGCCCAGUCAAAUUAAAGAUUGAUGGUGGUACUGGACCGGACAGCCAAUUGUCACCAAAACCCAAUGAGAACAUGUUUGACAAUUUCCCAAGCUCACCAGGUACGCUUCCUCCUAGUUGAUUUUCUUGAAGGUUAAGUAAUUGUAGCUGGGUUGCGUUGCUGAUGGUUGGUGGGAUGAUCCCGCUAAGGUUAUUCCUAGAAAUAUUUAGCGCAAUUAAAUUGUACAGAGAGCCGAUUUCCUCGGGGAUUGGGCCUUCUAGCAUGUUUCUAGAAAGAUCCACCCCUUCUAGGUUUGAACAAUUCAUGAGUGAGUCAGGAAUCGUCCCCUGGAAUGAAUUGGAGCUGAGGUCAAGGAGGACCAACUCAUGGAGCAGGUUCAGAGGAGGUAACAGGCCGGAGAAGCCAUUGGAGGACAAAUUGAGGAGCUUAAGGUACGUCAAGUUCCCAAAAGAGGGGGUGAUCUCGCCUGACAAGUUUUGGCCGGGGAGUUGCAGAGC
rnacentral:lncRNA from 1 species